CUGCCGCUCCGCCUCUUCCUCCCGCCCUUCCUCUUCCUCUUCCUUCCUCCUCCCCCGCAGCCGCGGGAAGGGCGGGGAUGGAGCCGGGACAGCUAGGUUUGUGGGUGACCCAGCCUUUUCCCAUCGCGUCCCGGCCCGAGAGGAGGAGGAGGAGGAGGAGGAGGAAGAGGAGGGACUGAGUAGGAGGAAGAGGAGGAGAGGAAGAAGGAGAAGCCGGAGCAGGCAGAAGAAGCCCCGCGCGCUUUCAGCGCUCUCUGCACCCACAGGUGGUUCAGCCCGGGAGCAUCGCCCCCCAUCCAGCAGGAGAUACAGCUGCUAUGGUUUUUUGAAUGAAAAUCGCUGUAGGUUUGAGUGAUUCUGGAAGCCCUCGAAUUAAAGGAGCCAUAAUUUCAGGCUUUACAGGUAAUUGCAUUGUCCUUGCCAGGCCUCGUUCGGAACAGCUAGUGUGAUGGUUCAGCAACUGCACCUGCACUGGCGUCUUCUCCAAGCCGGAACUGCCAUGGCAGAGGGGUUCCCCCUCGUGGCAAUUGGGAGGCAAAAAGAAAAUGAGAGGGGCUUCGGACAACCUCUUACACCGGCUGCUCCCACUUUCAUCCCAGCAUGAUCCCAGUUGCUGCCAGAAUAGUUCCAGUUGUUCCCAGUUUCUCCCAGGAUGAUCCCAGGUGUCCUUAGAAUAGUCCCAGUCCCUCUCAGCAUGGUCCCAGCUGUUCCCAGUGUGGUUCCAGUCCCCCCAGUAUGGUUACAGACACUCCCAGUAUAUCCCAGUUGGCCCAGUAAGGUUCUAGUUACUUCAGAAUGAUCCCAGUCUUUCCCAGUUACUCCCAGUUGCCUCCAGCAUGAUCCCAGUUUCUGGCCGUUGCCCAAACUGUGGUCCCAGUUGAUCCCAGUAUGAACCCAGUUGCCCCAGUUGUGGUCUCAGUCCCCUCAGCAUGGUUUGUGUACCUUCCAGUUGGUCCCAGUUGCUCCCAAUGUGUCCACAUUUUCCUCCCAGCAUGGGCCCAGUAGCUCCCAGUAACCCCCAGCCAGGAUCCAUUCACACCUGCUGGAAUCCUAGUGGCUCCCAGGAUGAUCCCAGCUGCACCCAGUCCCCCCCAGUAUGGUUCCAGUCACUCCCAGUAUGAUCCCAGUCACUCCCAGAUCCUCCCAGUAUGAUUCCAGUCAUUCCCAGAGUGUCUCCCUGUCACUCCCAGUGCGGGCCCAGUUGCUCCCAGUCACCUCCAGCAUGGUUCCAGUCACUGCCAGCACCUUUCCAGUCUCUCCCAGUCUGAUUCCACUAUGAACCCAGUCACACUUAGAUAUUCCCAGUACUAUGCCAGUCACUCCCAAUAUGAUGCCAGUCAGUUCCAGUAGGAUCCCAGUAUGACCCCAGCAUGGGCACAGCUGCUCCCAUUAUCAUCCACUGUGGUUCCAGUUGCUCCCAUUUACCCCCACAGUGGUUUAAGUCUCUCCCAGUGUAUCCCAGGUGCCCCCAGCAUGUUCCCAGUCACUCCCAUGUGUCCUCAGUUGCUUCCAGCCUGAUCCCAGUUGCUCAGAGCCACUCCCAGUCACCCUCAGUGCAGUCCCAGUUGCUCCAAGUAAGAUCCAGUAGGAUGGCAGUUGCCCCCAGCAUGCUUCCAGGUGCUUCCCGUUCUUCCCAGUGUGAUCCCAGUUGCCCCCAGUUGUCCCUUGUAUCAUCCCCAUCACUUCCCAUAUGAUCCCAAUCCCUCCCAGCAUGGUCCCAGUCAUGCCCAGUUGCCCCCAGUGUGGUCCCAGUCAUGCCCAGUUGUCCCCAGUGUAGACCCAGUCACUCCCACUCGCUCCCAGUUGCCCCCAGCAUGUUCCCUGCUGUUCCCAGUGUGUUCCCAGUCAUCCCCAGUAUGGUUACAGACACCCCCAGUAUAUCCCAGUUGCGCUCAGCUUGUCUGUGGUCAUUCCCAGACACUCGCAGUGAUCCCAGUAAGGUGCUUAUUAUCCCAGUAUGAUCUCAGUCACACCCAGUAUAUCCCAGUUGUCUCCAGCCUGCAUCCAGUCCUUCCCAGUUCCUCCAGUUUGCUUGCAGCAUGAUCCCAGUUUUUCACAGUUGCUCCCAGUAGCCCAAAGUGGGAUCCCAGUUGCUCCCUUUCAACACCAGUGUGAGCCCAGUAACCUCAGUAUGAUCCUUGUCACAUGCCGGCACUUCCACUAUGGUCCCAGUAUAAUCCCAGUAACUUGCAAUCACUCCCAGUAUGGUCCCAGCUGCCUCCAGCUAGAUCAACCCAGUCAAUUCCAGUAUGAUGCCAUUUGCUCCCAGCAUGCUCCCAGUUGCUCCCAGUCACCCCCAGUAUGGGAGAUGAUGUGCAUGGUGUGUUCCCAGUCACUCUCAGACACUCCCAGUAUUAGUCCAGUCCCUCCCAGUAUGAUCCAAAUAUGGCCCAGUGUACUCCCAGUCACUGCCAGUAUGAACCAGUUGUGCCCCACAUGGUUCCAGUUGCUCCCUUUCACCCUCACUUUUGUUCCAGUCACUCCCAGUCUCUCCCAGUGUACCCCAGUUCCUUCCAGCAUAUUCCCAGUCACUUCCAGUUCCUUCCAGCAUGAUCCCAUUUGCUCCCAACCACUCCUGGUCAGCCUCAGUGUAGUCACACUCACUGCCAGUAUGAUCACAGUCACCUCCAGCAUGAUCCCAGUUGAUCCCAGUAUAAGCCCAGUUGCUUCCAGUCACUCCAGCAUGCACCCAGUGACUCACAGUUCCUCCCAGUUGCUCCCAGCAUGAUCCCAGUUACAGCUUCUCCUGGUCACCCUCUUAAUGAUCCCAGUCAGUCCCAGUAUGUCCCAUGUGCCCCCAACAUGGUCUUAGUUGCCUGCUGCAGGCUCCUACUCACUCCCAGUGUGAUCCCAGUAUAAUCCCAGUCUCUCUCAGUGUGAUUACAGUAUCCUCUGGCAUGGGCCCAGCUAUUUCCAAUAUGAUCCCACUAUGAUCUCAGUACAAACCCUGUACCGUCACAGUCACUGCCAGUAUGAUCCCAGUACAAUCUCAGUCUAUCCCAGUGCUGCCACUCCUGGGAUCCCCUAGCCCUCUCUGCAUUCCCCCCUCCCAGAUGUCCUGAGAGGAGCCCCAAGGGCUGGCAGUGCCCAGGCAGGGUCCCCAGCAAGCCCCAGUUUGGAUGUGCAGCUCCCAGUUUUCCCAGUUUGCCUCUCCUUUUGCCCGGGCCAGGUUCCCCCCUGGAACAGCGGGGGGUAGCAGCUGAGAACCCCACACUGCCCAUCCUGAACUCUCCCGGCUCCAUCCUCGCUCCUGCCACGGGCUGCCAGGGCUGCGGGAACGGGGCACCGAGGGUGUCGCUGCUCCUGGGGGAGGAGAAGGAGGGAGGGAAGGAGAGGGAUGAAGAAGGAGAGCCAGAAGGGAUGGAAUUAGGGCAAGAAGGUGGGCUUAGGGACGAAGAGGAGGAGGAGGGAUGGAAGAGGAGGUGCGGAAGGAAGAAGAGGGACAAAGGAGGAUCAAGGAAAGGAGAAGUAACAAUGAGGUCGAGCACUCCCUGAAUUCGCAGCCCCCCUGAAAUCAUCAC